UGUUUAUUUUUGAGAGAGACAGAGUGUGAGUGGGGGAGGCACAGAGAGAGAGAGGGAGACAGAAUCUGAAGCAGACUCUAGGCUCUGAGCUGUCAGCACAGAGCCCGACGCGGGGCUCGAACUCACGGACCGUGAGAUCAUGACCUGAGCCGAAGUCGGACGCUAAACCGACUCAGCCACCCAGGCCUCCCAAUUUUUUUUCUUAAUGUUUCGUUUUGGGGAGGAAGGGGCAGAGAGAGGGAGACCUAGAAUCCAAAGCAAGCUCCUGUCAGCACACAGCCGGAUGUGGGGCUCAAACUCCUAAACUGCGAGAUCAUGACCUGAGCCGAGGUCAGACGCUUAACCGACUGAGCCACCCAGGGGCCCCGGACUGGGUGUUUCCUGAUUUUUAGCAUAUGUGGGUGCUGAGGAGGAGCACUGGAGCCAAUCCAGGACCUCCAGGCAGGGUUUUCUGAAGGACAAGCCUGGACGAUUCUGUUAGUCUGUUAGUCUGUGACUGUGUGCAUCUGAAACCCAAACGGAGAUGUCCGGAAGCUGGGGGCAUGAAGAAUGUUUUCUUCUUUUCUCCUUUCACAGGCUAUUUUGUGCAUUAACUAGCACACAUGUUGAGUUGUGUGCUUUGGCUUCUCUUCACAGAAAGAUCCAGAUUCGACUGUAAUUAGAUAUUUACCUUUUUAUUUUUCUGUAGGCACCUAGAGUAUACAUAAGGAACUAGAGUGAGUUAAGGUCUACAGCCUAGACUGGUAUUAAAUUAAGCUGGUUUGAUCACAAUUCACACAAGCUAAAAUGUAAGCACUGUAAGAGGUUCAAAAAUACCCUCUGUUUCAAGUAGGUAUAUUAUAUAAAAUAGCCUGUGUUCCUAAGUGUGUCUGUUGAUAAAUCUUUAGAUUGUGUCUGUAGAUAAAUCUAUAAAAUCUUUUUUUUUUUUUUUUUUUCUCAUUGACUAGUUUGGGUAAAUGCCCGCCCUGCCCCAGAAUAAUAAAGGUGAGCUUGAGAAUGUUCCAUAGUUUACAAGACAGUUCACAUAGCUAGCUACAGGUUAUGAACGAAAAGGAAUUAAGAUUCUUGCUCCUUCGUUACUUGCUUCAGGAACUAAUGUUCUGACUUUGUAAAAACAAUUUCAGAUUUGUAGGGCAAAAUGAUAUAGGAGAAGCAGCAUCCUGCUAAACUAUUAAGAAACAAGGAUGGAUAUAUGAAACACAGAAAAUUAAGACAAUCCCACGUGGAGUCUCUAUAGGAAUCAAGAAGAGAUUUACCGAGGAUUUCUCUUAGGGCAUUCCUGCAGACCGCAGGAGAAAAUGUGGCCUCUUCUGAACCAUUGGUUUAAGAGACAGAGUGCCUCCCCCACCCCAAGGCCUCCCCCCUGACUAGCAAGUACCAGAAAAUAACUGGGGAGGGAGGCCAGAUGGAUGUAGGUACAUUUCAUCUGGGCAGCGUGGACGCAGAGAAGGGUCGUGGUAGCAAAAUAGACUGAGGAUUAUAUUCUUAGAUUUGCUGCUGUCCGUUGAAGAGUAUGGAAUUCGAGGACAAGGGCAUCAAGAGAGAAUUUGCCUCUGGAGCAGUGCGUGCUCUGAUUGGGAAUACCCUGAGCCCUGGGGCCUUGAACUACAGACAGGGUUUGAACGUAUGGACACGGGAUGGACAAAUCCCUUUCCCACAAGGAGAGUGAGGCUCAAAGACAGUCUCUUUCUCUCUUUCCCAUCAAUCUUACUUAGGUAUAGUUGACAUAUAAUGAACUGUACGUAGUGAAAGCGUACAGUUUGGGAAGUUUUGACGUGCGUAUACCCUGCGAAAGCACCACUCCAGGCAGGUCAGUGAACAUAUCUACCACCCCCAAAGUUUCCUCCUGACCUGUUCUAGCUUUUCUGUCUAGACGUUUGGUUUCGUUGCUUUUUGUAUAUCCCACAUCUGUCCAAUGUAUUCGUCUGCCCUUCAGUUUCUCAAACACACACCAUAGAGUCGUAAACACGGUUUCAUUGUCUUUGCUAAUUCUGGCAUCUUCGCCAUUUCUGACUCAGAAUUGGUUGAUCUUUCUCUUCAUUUUGGGCCAUCUUAUUUUGCUUCUCUGCAUCCUUGCUGAAUUUUAGAUUGCAGGCCGGACUUUGGGUGCCAGGUGUUUUUGCGUUCCUACGAAUCUUUGGUUAAGUUACUUGGAAACAGCUGGAUCCUGUUGACUCUUGCUUUUCAGCUUUGGUGGGUGUUCCGAGUACCGCUCCAGCCUGGGCGUUGUUCCCUCUAAUCCUUUUGGGGGGUUCUUUCCCCAGGCGAGUGUAGGGUCUUUGUAAGAGCGUGCUGACCAAGGAGGGCUCCGUGCCUAUCUGUGGGGUUCUCUUUCUGUGCAGCGUUCUCUUAUCCCGGAACUCUGCUUCUUAGACUCUGGCUACCUUGGUCUCCUCAGACACCCAGAUCUGUCUGCUCAACACCAGGAUACUGCCAGGAGGUGCCUCGAUCCCCCUGGUCCCCCGUCCCCUCGCAGUCUGUGGACCCCUCCAGACCGGAAGCUGGGGACAGCCGUAGGCUCACCAUGUGUAUUUCUUGCCUCUCGGUGUUCGCUGCCCUUGGAUGCGUGACGUCCAGUGUCUUCAAGACCAUCUCAGAUUUUGUCUGUUUUUUUACUUGUUUCAAGUGUGAGAGUAAGUCUGUGUCCCUGAUGCUCCACAGUGGCCCAAGCGUGAGUGCCACACGUAUCCUCCCUGUGAGAUGGGAGCAGGCAUUCUGGAACUAGGAAGCAAUGUCUUCUUGACUUUGAGAAAGCAUCUCUGAAUGCAGCACUUUACGGCAUUCUUAAUACAGUAGAAGACAUCAUGAUGUUUAUAAAAAAGGAUCAACAAGUUUUUUGGUUUUUUUUAGUUUAUUUUUGAGAGAGAGAAAAAGUGAGAGUGGGGAGAGACAGAAAACGAGAGAAUCCCAAGCAGGCGCCACACUGUCAGCACAGAGCCCGACGCGGGGCUCAAACCCACGAACUGUGAGAUCAUGACCUGAGCCGAGGUUGGACGCUUAACCAUCUGAGCCACCCCGGCGCCCCCAGCAAAUCUCGAGGGGAGAGCAAAUUUGGAUAAAUAGGGAACAGGAUUAUUGAUUAGGUGAUAGGUGAGAAAAUGAGGCAUUGGCAGGAAGCUGGAAAGGCAAUGGUGGAAGGAAGUCCAUUUCGCACGCGGAGGUGAACUUGAAUGAUACUGCGUGGCAGAGUGAAAUGGCACGAUCGACUUGAGAGCAUGCACGUUUCCGAACGUUUUACAGGUAUAAAUUCAUAAAUAGAAUGGGAAGGUAAACACGCUCUGGAGAAAUAUUUACAGCACAGGACCAAGAGUCAGUCGAUAAGUUAAUAACAUAUACUAAUAACUCUUAGCAGAAGCAGCAGCAGGAAAACAAAGCCUUGGCAGGAGGGCUCAGGGGUGUUCUCCCAGGGACUUAACCAAGGAAGAGACACUUGCUCGCCAAGUGGCAAAAAAAAAAAAAAGUCCAA